GACCUUGAAGACUCUUGGCACCCUGCUCGCACGUAAAGAGUCAGCAAGAAGUCCCCGAGUGGCUGCAAAAUAAGGCCAAGCUCGGGGGCAGAUUACUUCUUAGACCUGUACUGGAUGGACCUUGUCAGUACACUGCAGAGUGCCUGCAGCGCACAAGAAGACACAACAUCAUGCUGAGAAAACAUAAAAACUUUUCUUGUGUAGUACCUUGCUAUGCCAGCUCUGUUUGCUUUGUGUUUCAAUACGGAGAUUAGUUGCAGACUGUGUCAUGAAGAUAUGAAGAUGCAGUACUCUAAUGCCCCAUCAAGGGUUUUUGUCAGGAAGUGGGUUGCUGAAAACUAAAUUUAAAAAAAAAAAACAAUA